CGGGACACGUGGUAUCCUGUCUGAAUAUGGGGGGACCAUCCUCCAAGGCUAAAUACUCCUGACUGACCGAUAGUGAACCAGUACCGUGAGGGAAAGGCGAAAAGAACCCCGGCGAGGGGAGUGAAAAAGAACCUGAAACCGUGUACGUACAAGCAGUGGGAGCACGCUUAGGCGUGUGACUGCGUACCUUUUGUAUAAUGGGUCAGCGACUUAUAUUCUGUAGCAAGGUUAACCGAAUAGGGGAGCCGAAGGGAAACCGAGUCUUAACUGGGCGUUAAGUUGCAGGGUAUAGACCCGAAACCCGGUGAUCUAGCCAUGGGCAGGUUGAAGGUUGGGUAACACUAACUGGAGGACCGAACCGACUAAUGUUGAAAAAUUAGCGGAUGACUUGUGGCUGGGGGUGAAAGGCCAAUCAAACCGGGAGAUAGCUGGUUCUCCCCGAAAGCUAUUUAGGUAGCGCCUCGUGAAUUCAUCUCCGGG
rnacentral:rRNA from 1 species